AUUCUUCUUCCUCUUCCUAUAAUAACAGCAUAUUGUGUGCUUCAAUGGCAUGAACAAAUGGUCUGCAAGUGGAAUCCAAUCCUUCUAAAAUUCAUUAACCAAAUUUUCCUCUGUAAUAGGACAUUGAACAACUGCUUGAUGAUCAAAGAUUGACUUGGCUCUUUUCAUAUGGUCCUCCACAGAAGUUGUGCCCUUCUUAAGGUGUUUUAACUGCUUACAGAGCUGCAUUACUUGUGUUCUUGAACCUGUAGAAAAAAUGGCCUUAAGCUUUUGCCUGGCAUCCUGCUGUGGAAGAGGUGAUAACUCGGGUCUGGAGAUUUUCAGAGAUGGAACAGAACAUCCAGCUUAGGACCAAUUGGUCUUGACGGUGCCAAGCUUCAUAUGCUGGAUUGGGAGUGUUAUCAGCUAGGAGAGCUGGUGGUGGUCUGGUAGUCAAAGCAAUAUGAGAAGCGAGAUUAUAUCCUUUGAGAAUGGGAAGAAGCUGAGAUUUCCACAGGAGAUAGUUUGAGGAAUUCAAUUUGAUUGGUAAAAUACUGAUUGACGUAGGGAAUAGAAAAAGAGAUUGGGGAAGUGGAUGAGCUGGAGAUCAAUGCUUGAGAGGAGUCGAUUUUCGAAAAACAACUGGCUGUGGAGCUGAUUUGGCUUUGAUACCAUAAAGAGUUCUGAAUGUUUCAAGUCUUGUUAAUGAUAAAUUGAAUGUACAAUAUAUACUGGUCACAAGAUAAUGAUAAGUAUGAAAUGUACAAGCUAAGGAUUGGUGCAACAGAUAGAUAAAGAUCAAUAUGAAAUUGGUUAAUAGAUUGGGAUAAACAUUAUCUCUCUGUUAGACAGCCCAUUGGGUGUUAUGCUAAUGUAGUGUUUAAAUGGAUUUGGCGAUUUCUUUAAUGCUUGUUUUCUUCCCAUCAAGUGCUUGUGCAAUUUCAUUUCCUAGAAUACGUUAUAUUUUUCAUUUUUACUUCAUUUGGCAGAAGACCAGAGAAUGGAAAGCUCUGGCAAAGUUGGAGGCGAAGAUGCGGAGUGAAGCUGAUGAAACCUUGUAAUUCUUCAAUGUGUGGAAGGAUGAUAUCCCCCCAACUUUGUACUAUUGUUGUUUGAGAGAUGUUUUUGGGAUUUUCUCCUGUUGUACCCUAUUGUUUUCUGCUGGUGUUAAUCUGUUCCAAUCGUGAAUACAUUGGCAGGAAGAUUUGAGUUAUUAUAGAGGUGGCCUAUGAUGAUUUUUGGUUUCUCAGAGUGGCUUUUUUCCUAGUUGAUAUUUUUCUACUAGAAAAAAAAAAGGUAUUCACCUUUUCAUGGAACAAGAAGUGAUGCUCAAAAGAGAGAAAAAAAUUAUGAUUUCAUCAUUUACAUAUAGCUGAAAAUCCUGAUUUCCUCAUCAUUUAAUAGGGCAAGAAGAAGAUGAUUGCAAAAUUUGUAGCUUAAAUUGAUUUAGUUUGUUCUUUCUAUGUAAAAUCCUGUGAUGAAAUGUAUUUGAGUUCACAGUGAACCAGGUUUAGAUAAGAAUUUCACUUUAAUGAAUUUUAGCUGAACUCAUAGGAAAUGAAAUCCAACAAAAUCUACUAGAAUGUAUUCCUAAUACUUCAAUUACAAUGAGAAAAAAUUUAAUACAAUACUUUCAGCUAUUAAUACUCAACUAGGCAUACAAAAGCAGACAUUUUAAUGGAAGCUGUUCUUGUCAUUUUCAACCUUUGAAGGUGGCUCAUGCAGUAGGUCGGCUCUAUUGAAGGAAAGAAUAUUGUGGAUGGUGCUUGCAUUGAUGAAACAGUAUUCUAUUUUACUAUCGCUCUCUCUAUUAAACUUCCAUGCAAUCUUCUGCUGAUAUUUUCUCCAAUUGUUUCUCCUGAAGGAACUUGGCAAGGCGAUCUAAGAAAGCAUCACAUUCAGAGCUCAGAACUCGUUGUCAGCUCUCCUGCAACUUCUGCAGGAGUGACUUCACUAUUCUCCAAUAGCUCUUUAAUCUCUUCAGAAAGAUCGCAACAUGACAACACUGUAAUACAUGGGGCGAUCCUUUAGACAUGCGUAGAUCAAACAUUAACAAGUUUAGCUAGUGGACAAUUAAUCAGGGAACUGCACCAAUUACUGAUGUAGUCUAGCUUGGUCAUUAUUUUCUUUAUGUUUAAAUUUCUUAAAAUUAAUUAUACUUGACUACUUUUUAUUAU
rnacentral:misc_RNA from 1 species